UCCGGAGUAGCUCAGCGGUAGAGCGGUCGGCUGUUAACCGAUUGGUCGUAGGUUCGAUCCCUACCUCCGGAGCCA
rnacentral:tRNA from 1 species